UGAGUAACCUGCCCUUAACUCUGGGAUAAGCCUGGGAAACUGGGUCUAAUACCGGAUAUGACUCCUCAUCGCAUGGUGGGGGGUGGAAAGCUUUAUUGUGGUUUUGGAUGGACUCGCGGCCUAUCAGCUUGUUGGUGAGGUAAUGGCUCACCAAGGCGAUGGCGGGUAGCCGGCCUGAGAGGGUGACCGGCCACACUGGGACUGAGACACGGCCCAGACCUCCGUACGGGAGGCAG
rnacentral:rRNA from 1 species